rnacentral:rRNA from 1 species
UGGGGAAUAUUGCACAAUGGGCGCAAGCCUGAUGCAGCCAUGCCGCGUGUGUGAAGAAGGCCGUCGGGUUGUAAAGCACUUUCAGCGGGGAGGAAGGCGAUAAGGUUAAUAACCUUGUCGAUUGACGUUACCCGCAGAAGAAGCACCGGCUAACUCCGUGCCAGCAGCCGCGGUAAUACGGCGGGUGCAAGCGUUAAUCGGAAUUACUGGGCGUAAAGCGCACGCAGGCGGUCUGUCAAGUCGGAUGUGAAAUCCCCGGGCUUAACCUGGGAACUGCAUUCGAAACUGGCAGGAUAGAGUCUUGUAGAGGGGGGUAGAAUUCCAGGUGUAGCGGUGAAAUGCGUAGAGAUCUGGAGGAAUACCGGUGGCGAAGGCGGCCCCCUGGACAAAGACUGACGCUCAGGUGCGAAAGCGUGGGGAGCAAACAGG